GAUGAACGCUGGCGGCGUGCCUAAUACAUGCAAGUCGAGCGAACAGACGAGGAGCUUGCUCCUCUGACGUUAGCGGCGGACGGGUGAGUAACACGUGGAUAACCUACCUAUAAGACUGGGAUAACUUCGGGAAACCGGAGCUAAUACCGGAUAAUAUAUUGAACCGCAUGGUUCAAUAGUGAAAGACGGUUUUGCUGUCACUUAUAGAUGGAUCCGCGCCGCAUUAGCUAGUUGGUAAGGUAACGGCUUACCAAGGCAACGAUGCGUAGCCGACCUGAGAGGGUGAUCGGCCACACUGGAGCUGAGACACGGUCCAGGCUCCUACGGGAGGCAGCAGUAGGGAAUCGUCCGCAAUGGGCGAAAGCUUGACGGAGCAACGCCGCGUGAGUGAUGAAGGUCUUCGGAUCGUAAAACUCUGUUAUUAGGGAAGAACAAAUGUGUAAGUAACUAUGCACGUCUUGACGGUACCUAAUCAGAAAGCCACGGCUAACUACGUG
rnacentral:rRNA from 1 species